CCUUCCUAUUUUUUCCAUUCGGCCUUCAACAUGUGCCAUGACCAAAUCCAAAUCCCCCAAACCUAAAUCCUCUCACGCACUCCCUCCGUCGCCGCCCGCUAGCUAGCAGCCCGCACGCCGCCGACCACCCACGUCUCCAGCAUGCCGUCACCUGUCUCCUUCAUCCUCCUGCACCCCCACUGCUUAGGCCCCCCUACCUCGUGCGCUGGAGUUCGGGGAGAGGCCGAGGCGCGGUGGUGGACGUCGCCAUCCCUCUGAGAUCUGGGGCUGAGAGAGGGAGGUAGAGGUGGGUCACCUACGAGAGAGCACUCGCACCCUCGCUCGUCAGUCGUCACCCAGGGGCCGCCACCACCACCGCCACGCCAUGGGCUUCCUCCGAUCUGCGCUCGCCGGUUCAUCUGAAGAAGGAUCUGGCCGUUGACUGCUGGUGCUUCCCCUCCCCGGGCGAUCUACCAUUACUUGGGAUAGUACUUCUAUCCAGCAAGCAGCGUUUUGGAUGUGAGCUCCAGCUCAAGCAGAGCACAAAAAACAGGGGCUCUAUCUGCUAAUGGGGUAGCCGGCAACGCAGUCUAAGAGCUAAAUCUCAUGUGAUUUCUGGAUAUGAGAACUUGAGAAGAACUAGCUUGAUGCUAUUAUUGAAAAAAAAAUCUAUGCUACAGGAUUCUUCUUUGCAUCCCAUACACUUAGACGGAGUGGAGGCUGCCGCAGCGGUGCUGGACUCGAAGCCCAAGCCAUCAGACGCCGCCGACAGUCUGAUGCCUUCAGAAUUGGCUCUCAAAACUUUCAACCAAGAUUAGAGCUAGCAUACAGUUUCUAGUUUAUUGUCGUACUCAUACUCAAUGAGUCCCUACCUCGGCUUCUGGGCAAGAUAUUCUUUAAUUUUAGGUAAGCUCUAAUUUGUAAAGCAUUAUUGUGGCUUUUAGAAACUCCGAAUCUCAGAUUUAUUGAGAUAUCGAAAUCCCAGUUUGAGAUUCAUCGAGAUAAGGAGAUCUUAUUCGACCAUGUAAUUUAAAUAUUAUUCCAAUGAGUAUUGUUGAUUGUCGUUUUUAACAAUAUUACUCAACUUAUGGUCACUUCCCUUUGUUUAGUUCAGCACCAUUCUUUUCUCUUAUUCGUUUUGGUAAAAGAAAUCUCUCAAUAUCCUUUUUUGCUCAGCACCAGUAAAUUUCAUAGAGGUGAUGUAAUAUAUAAUGUCAUUAUUACUUUAGAAGUUGCAGAAGUGUAAUGCUGACUCUACUCGAAUGAUGAUUAUCCCUACAUGCAUAACAUAUUAUAAAGAUAUCUUCCUACGUGCCCCUUCUGUAAGGAUGCAUGCUGAUGUGUGCGCAUCGUUUCUAGCUUGUUUUGGUGCAUCUUUUAUCCUGCUUCAGCUGGUUAGCCUGAAUCCUCUUUUCUCCUGUUUCAGUUGAUUAGCAACCACUAUUGUUCAGGAAUUUUGAGUGGCGCACAUCCUGGUCUGGCGAGCCGAUGACCGGACAUCAUUUGUUAAGGAAGCAAAAAGGACUACACUCACAAGGAACCAUGAAGUCAACGAUCCACGUCAACUAGAUGUUUUAGCUUUCAUUUUGUACAACUGAUGUCUGAUACUUGCAUCUUUUGGUUGUCCUUUUGUAAACCUGAUGUAUGGUUUCUCGGUGGUUUUGUUUAGAACAGAUUGAAGUGUAUGUGCCAAUUAGUUAAUGGAAUAAAAAAUGUUUGGUGCUCC